GGUUCGGAACAACACAGGGAAACUUGUGCUAAUACCGGAUAAGCCCUUACGGGGAAAGAUUUAUCGCCGAAAGAUCGGCCCGCGUCUGAUUAGCUAGUUGGUGAGGUAAUGGCUCACCAAGGCGACGAUCAGUAGCUGGUCUGAGAGGAUGAUCAGCCACAUUGGGACUGAGACACGGCCCAAACUCCUACGGGAGGCAGCAGUGGGGAAUAUUGGACAAUGGGGGCAACCCUGAUCCAGCCAUGCCGCGUGAGUGAUGAAGGCCCUAGGGUUGUAAAGCUCUUUUGUGCGGGAAGAUAAUGACGGUACCGCAAGAAUAAGCCCCGGCUAACUUCGUGCCAGCAGCCGCGGUAAUACGAAGGGGGCUAGCGUUGCUCGGAAUCACUGGGCGUAAAGGGUGCGUAGGCGGGUCUUUAAGUCAGGGGUGAAAUCCUGGAGCUCAACUCCAGAACUGCCUUUGAUACUGAAGAUCUUGAGUCCGGGAGAGGUGAGUGGAACUGCGAGUGUAGAGGUGAAAUUCGUAGAUAUUCGCAAGAACACCAGUGGCGAAGGCGGCUCACUGGCCCGGUACUGACGCUGAGGCACGAA
rnacentral:rRNA from 1 species